rnacentral:rRNA from 1 species
AUUGAACGCUGGCGGCAGGCCUAACACAUGCAAGUCGAGCGGGGUGAUGGUGCUUGCACUAUCACUUAGCGGCGGACGGGUGAGUAAUGCUUAGGAAUCUGCCUAUUAGUGGGGGACAACAUCUCGAAAGGGAUGCUAAUACCGCAUACGUCCUACGGGAGAAAGCAGGGGAUCACUUGUGACCUUGCGCUAAUAGAUGAGCCUAAGUCGGAUUAGCUAGUUGGUGGGGUAAAGGCCUACCAAGGCGACGAUCUGUAGCGGGUCUGAGAGGAUGAUCCGCCACACUGGGACUGAGACACGGCCCAGACUUCUACGGGAGGCAGCAGUGGGGAAUAUUGGACAAUGGGGGGAACCCUGAUCCAGCCAUGCCGCGUGUGUGAAGAAGGCCUUAUGGUUGUAAAGCACUUUAAGCGAGGAGGAGGCUCUUUUGGUUAAUACCCAAGAUGAGUGGACGUUACUCGCAGAAUAAGCACCGGCUAACUCUGUGCCAGCAGCCGCAGUAA